UCCUCGUUAGUAUAGUGGCUAGUGUCUCUGCUUGUCAUGCAGAAGACUGGGGUUCGAUUCUCCAAUGAGGAG